GUGUCAGCCGCCGCGGUAAGACGGAGGAUGCAAGCGUUAUCCGGAAUGAUUGGGCGUAAAGCGUCCGUAGGUGGCUCAUCAAGUCUGCUGUCAAAGGUCAGGGCUUAACUCUGAAAAGGCAGUGGAAACUGAAGGGCUAGAGUACGAUAGGGGCAGAGGGAAUUCCCGGUGUAGCGGUGAAAUGCGUAGAGAUCGGGAAGAACAUCGGUGGCGAAAGCGCUCUGCUGGGUCGUAACUGACACUGAGGGACGAAAGCUAGGGGAGCGAAUGGGAUUAGAAACCCUGGUAGUCC
rnacentral:rRNA from 1 species